rnacentral:rRNA from 1 species
AUAAUGCGAUAACGAACGAGACCUCCCUCUGCUAACUAGUAGGCAUUUAUUAAUUACGGNCUGAAGUCAGGUAAUCGCCGAGGCAAGCAAUUGUCGGAGCACGCCUGGUGGAUGCUUUUGGUGGAGUGUGCGACUUCUUAGAGAGACUGAUGUUUUUUAAAGUAUAGGAAGAGAGGCAAUAACAGGUCUGUGAUGCCCUUAGAUGUUCUGGGCCGCACGCGCGCUACAAUGAUUAGAGUAGAGUGUCCAAAGUGAACACUCUAUGGAAACUUCGGGUGAAUCCGGAUUUCCAUUCAUAACUGGAAUAGAUUUUUGUAAUUAUUAGUCUUAAACGAGGAAUUUCUAGUAGGCGCGGUUCAUCAGACCGCGUCGAUUACGUCCCUGCCCUUUGUACACACCGCCCGUCGCUUCUACCGAUUGAGCGUUCCGGUGAAAUUAUCAGAUUGGAAUUAGUUUAAUGGGCAACCGUUGGUUAAAAUUGAAAAGGCAAGUAAACCAUAACGCUUAGAGGAAGAAGAAGUCGUAACAAGGUCUCCGUAGGUGAACCUGCGGAGGGAUCAUUAUC